rnacentral:rRNA from 1 species
GUGAUGGAGAGCUUGAUCCUGGCUCAGAAUGAACGUUGGCGGCGUGCCUAACACAUGCAAGUCGAGCGUGAAAGUCCUUCGGGAUGAGUAAAGCGGCGGACGGGUGAGUAACGCGUGAGAAUCUACCCUUCAGUGAGGAAUACCUUUGAGAAAUCGAAGUUAAUACUGCAUACGUCUCGAAAGAGAGAAAGAUGGCCUAAUUGCUGUCGUUGAAGGAUGAGCUUGCGUUCUAUUAGCUAGUUGGUGAGGUAAUGGCUCACCAAGGCGAUGAUGGAUAGCCGGCCUGAGAGGGCGAACGGCCACAUUGGAACUUAGACACGGUCCAAACUCCUACGGGAGGCAGCAG